UCCGAAGGGGGCUAUCGUUGCUCGGAAUUACUGGGCGUAAAGCGCACGUAGGCGGACUUUUAAGUCGGGGGUGAAAUCCUGGGGCUCAACUCCAGAACUGCCUUCGAAACUGAAAGGCUUGAGUUCGGGAGAGGUGAGUGGAACUGCGAGUGUAGCGGUGAAAUUCGUAGAUAUUCGCAGGAACACCAGUGGCGAAGGCGGCUCCCUGGCCCAAUACUGACGCUGAGGUGCGAAAGCGUGGGGAGCAAACAGG
rnacentral:rRNA from 1 species